rnacentral:lncRNA from 1 species
AGUAUUGAUGGGGCAAGCCAUGGGACUGGAAGGCAGCAGGCAGAUGUCAGGGUUGGGGAUUACUGGCUCAGAAGCAGGUAUCAUAGCAGAAGCCCAAGUCUCUUCCAAGUCACAGGGCUAGGAACCAAGAUAUCAGCAGGGGAAGCAGGGGGUGGAGGGGGUAUAAAAAUGACCCAACUACAACCACCAAUACUACCAUUUACUGAGGCUUCGCCAUGCAGCAGGCACCCUGAAAAGUGUUUUGUUUGCAUUAUCUUAGUCAGUCCUCCUAGCAGCCUGAUUAGUAGAAGUUGUUACAGAAACACAGAUGAAACCAUGGGUUAGAAAGAGGUUGAGUGCUAGAGAAUCUUAUGGCUGCAAAAUGAGUAAGCAGAGACUUCAACCACUGUCUUCUGACUCACAGCCCAAGGGAAAGACCAGGCAAGAGUAGGGGUGAAGUUUCUUUUUCUCCCCAGGGUCAUGGGAUACAUGAACUUCAGGCUUAAUCUCUGUGUGAGAAAAACAGCAUGAAGAUAAUCAACUCUAUGUCAGAAGAAAUUGGCAACACUACUAACCACGAGUAAUGCACACCGAAGGAGGACCCGGGGAAGAACCAAGAGAAGACAAGAACUGAAGUUCUUCCAUUCCCACCUCUGCAUCACCUUCCCUGCUUUCUCUUUCCCCAGAAGAGACUCAGUCAACAUCCCAAAGACCAAUGAUUUCAUUGUUUUACACCAAAUAUCCCUCCUCUAAAUUUUUCAAGAAAUUGGGAAUAAACUUCUUACGCAAGAAAAUUUGGGGAGCAAAAGCAAGUAACCAGCCUAGAUGAGCACAUCCAACCUCUCUCCUCUUGAUUCUCACAUGUAUUACCCAGGGUCCUGUUUCUGCAGAAAGGAGGGAACCCUUGAGAACAUUUUCACUAUGUCACUUUAGCAGCCUAACUCUGUGGUACCCCUGAUUUAGGGAGGGUGAGGGGGUGGUGAAGACUGCAACCCCAAUAGAAGCAGGGAAGGUGACAUAGAGGUGAGAAUGGAAGGACUUCAGUUCUUGGCUUCUCUUGGUUUCUGCCCUGGGUCUUUCUGGCACUAUCUUUCCCUAAAGUAUUUCAUCUAAUUCCUCAAACAUCCCUGGAUAGCCUAUAUCAUAAAGUCCUUUAUGAUCUCUGUUUUACCUGGAAAGAAAGUGAGAUGCAAAGAAGUUUAGUAACUUGCUGAGACCACAGAACCAGACAGAGGUUGUGCUGAGACCCACCCAGAGCACCAGGCUCUUCAUCACAACCUCUUUUUGUAAUUUCCCACACAGUCUUCUUAAUGGCAUCAGGGGUGCACAUGUGUGUUCUCCCUGACCAUUAAACCCUCACUGGCAUUAACUGGACAAAUAGGAAGUUUAAAGAGGGUAUUUAACACCCCAUUCAUCUAGUCUCCCUGCCUGAGCUGCUCCCCCAUCCUAGAAUGUGCUUUUAUCUCCUGUGAUAACCAAAGACCCACUGGAUCCUCCCUGCCCCCUCUCUCACCAUAAGGGCCUCAAUGCAAGUUAAUGUCUCCAUUUUCCACAUUCCUAUUAUGUUUAUAGAUGGUUCUGUACAAUUUCAUGUUUUACAGACUUGUUCAACCAUUGAUAUAAUAACAACCAUGAAAACAAAAAAAAAAAAA